rnacentral:piRNA from 1 species
UCCCAAGACCUCCACUCUCACCGGACCAA